rnacentral:rRNA from 1 species
UACAGAGGUGCCAAGCGUUAGGCGGAAUCACUGGGCUUAAAGCGCGUGUAGGUGGACGGGUAAGUAUCUUGUGAAAUCCCACGGCUCAACCGUGGAACUGCUGGAUAUACUGCUUGUCUUGAGGCACUUAGGGGCAGCUGGAACAAAUGGUGGAGCGGUGAAAUGCGUAGAUAUCGGGAGGAACAUCCAUGGCGAAGGCAGCUACCUGGACCAACACUGACACUGAGGCACGAAAGCGUGGGGAGCAAACAGG